AGGGAGGGGAGAGAGGGAGGGGAGGGGAGGGAGGAGAGGGAGGGAGGGGAGGGAGGGAGGGGAGAGAGGGGAGGAGAGAGAAAGAGGGAGGAAUAGAGGGAGAAAGAUGACAAAGGGGUAAACUGUUGCCUGUAAGUCUUCUUCCUCAGAUUCAGAUGAAUUGAUGAG